GCUAGGAUUACAGACGUGAGCCACCAUGCCCGGCCAACUGCCUUCUUUAUAUCUCAUUUUAAAAAUUUAUAACAAAGAAGUGGGUUGAUUUUCAAGACCUAGUUGUGUUAGUUUGAAUGAGAUGCAUACAUUUGGCAAGUCUGGGGUCUAAGAAAAGAUAAAGAUCUGAAUGCUGAAAAUCUAGAGAAUUCAGGUUACUGGGGGAUAACUUAAAGUCACUAGGGAAUUCGGGUUACUGGGGGGAUAACUUAAGGUCACUAGAACCCAAAUGCAGGGAAGAGUUGGGUGCUCUUUGGCAAAUAAACAUUCCUGACUUAGCAUUUUUCUUAAACCCGAACGUGCCAGCUGUUUUUUUGUUUUUUUGUUUUUUUGUUUUGUGACCUCAGCCAGGCUUGCGUGUUUAUUCAUCACAUAUUCUAAGCUCAUAUACAACUGUGACCUGAUCCAGCCUUCAAGGAACUCACUCUUGAUUUUAGGAAUCUUUCCACCACUUCGAUUUCAUCUUACUCCUGAAACAGUCAGCCAGAACUGUCUAAUUCAGUCUAUACUUCUGAUACAAAACUCUACCCAGCAACCACUAUGGUUUUGUUGCUUUAGGUACGUGUUAGAAAGCACCCACAUCAAUUUACAGAAAAUCCUUAACUGAAUCUCUAGUCCCAGAGGAGUCAUAUUUUAUUAUAUGGUGCUUUUUAUUUAAAGAGAUCGGUUUAAUAGAAAUUACUCAGGCAUUUGAAGUGAUAGCUUUAAAAUGUGGGACUGGGGAAAAUAAGAACACUUGACCUCUCUCCAUAAAAUUGAAUUGUUCUUUAGGUUUAAAGUUUUGACAGACAAAGAGAAAGUGAGAGCAAGUGAGGGUGAAAAUAUAUCCUUAUUUGGUAAUGAGUACCCAUUAAGAGGACAGUAUAUUACAUUUCAUCUUCUUACUUCACAUUCCUGUUUUAAGGAUUUGUGAGCAAAGUGCUGUGAGACCUCUAGAGUUAAGAGGCUGGAGAUAGGUAGUUUUGAUGGUAUUUUAAGGAGUGCUCCAUAAUGUGUAGUGUCUGAGUGCUGAAGCUUAAUCAGCUUCAAUUAAAUCCAAAACAUACUGAAUAGCUCCUAUGUGUCUGGCAUUGAGCUGUGUGCCAAAGUGGUGGAAAGAUGUAAGAGCCACUGAGGCUUAGAGAUGAAAAGGAUCUUGGAGCCACUGGUUUCCUGCCUGCUGGAGUUUCACCAUCAAGGACCCUUUCGUUAUUUUCCUUCUCCCAUGCAUUUUAUUAAAAUUUUUGGUUUAGUAAACCAAAUUCACUAAUGGGAUGUUAUUUUCAUAUCAAAGAGUAUAAUUCUGCCAAUCAAGGCUUCUGAUCAGCAUAAAAUAAUUAGGUUUCAUACUGAAUGCACAAAUUCUAGUCAAAAGCAAAGCCAUUUGAUGACAUGUCUGCUAUGUUGCCAUUUGCUUUAAGAGAGGUAAAGGUAGCCUGACUUCUGUUCACUCUGUAGUACAGAAUACAUUGUUAACAAGUCAUAGGUAUGUUCUUUUAGGUUUCUAAUUACUGUCAGCCUCUCAUUUCAGACAGGUGAUGUGAUAAGGUGAAAUGAUUACUAUAUUUAGACUCAAAAGUCCUGAGUUUGAGUCCUCGUUUAACGAUCUAGUCCAUGAGCUUCAGUUUUCUCACCUGUUAAAUGGAAAUGAUGAUUAUUUCCUGGAAAUUGCAUUUCCAGGUUGUUUUGAAUGAUAAAUGAUAUGGUGUAUAUAUCAGCUGUUUGCAAACCAGAAAAAGCUAUUCUAUGGUAAACACAUGCAGUGGGCUGAAUUGUGUCUCCCAAAAUUCAUAUGUUGAAGUCCUCACCCCCAGGGCCUCAGAAUGUGACUGUAUUUGGAUCUAGGGUCUUCAAGAGAUAACUAAGUUAGAAUGAGGUCAUUUGGGUUGAUCCUAAUCCAACUGACUGAUAUCCUUAUAAGACGACGAAAUUUGGAUACAGAAAUACACAGAAGACAGGGAGAAGAUGGCCAUCUACAAGCUAAGGAGAGAGGCCUCAGAAGAAACACACCUGCCACACCUUGAAUUUGGACUUCUAGCCAUCAGAACUGUGGGAAAAUAAAUUUCUGUUGUUUAAGCCAGGAGUCCUCAACCCCCGGGCUGUGGACCUGUACCAGUCGGUGGCAUGUUAAGGACUGGGCUCCACAGCAGGAGGUGAGUGGUGGGCGAGUGAGCAUUACUGCCUGAGCUCCACCUCCCGUCAGAUCAGCAGUGGCAUUAGAUUCUCAUAGGAGCACAAACCCUAUUGUAAACUGAGCACGCAAGGGAUCUAGGUUGUGCGCUCCUUACGAGAAUCUAAUGCCUGAUAAUCUGAGAUUGAACAGUUUUAUCCCCAAACCAUCCCCUCCACCACCCCCGUGGUCUGUGGAAAAAUUGUCUUCCACAAAACUGGUCCCUGGUGCCGAAAAGGUUAGGGACCAGCGGCUCAAGCCACCCAGCCUGUGGUACUUUGUUACGGUAGCCCUGGCAAAUGAAUACAACACGUUUUAGACUAUGAUGUUACACAUGCAGUGUGUUGAGAGCCAAAGAACCCAAAUGAUUCGUGGUAUCUGCCCUUGAAGAGUUUUUAAUCUUUUUGGGCAUGAUGAAACAUACACAUGGAAAAUAAAAUAGCAUAUAACCAAGUGCCCAAAUCAGUAAUAAAUACAGUUGACUCCAUAAACAUUUAGGAACCUUCUAUCCCAUGUUUCCACAUUCUAUCCCAGUGGCUUUUGCCACUAAAUUUCUUCACCCACUAUUAGACUGAUGUUUUCAUCUUUCAGUAUCAGACUCAAGCUUUAAUCUAGAAAGAGGGGGUGGGGGGAUAAAUGCUAUACUUUGGAACCAGUCCGGAUAUUUUAAGUAUGUUUUUAAAAAGUAUAAUCCUCACAACAUGAAAGUUAUUAGUUCUAUUUUUCAGGUGAGAAGAGUUAAGGUCAAACAGACGAAAGCUAGUUAGUGGAGGGACUGGUAUUCCAAGCCCAUUCUGGUUAAACUAAAUCUUGUGUUCUUUCCACUAGAAAACUGCUUUUUGUCUUAAUUAUAAUUUUGUGACAAGGAUGUAUAGUCCAUUAAGGAAUAUAUACAACAGAAGAAGCAUUUAAGUGGACUUGAGGUUUGUGAAUCUGAACUAGUUUCUAUCGACUUUCACAUCAGCAGCUCCUAUUCUGGGGAAAGAGAAUGGAGGCUGGGAGUGAUCCUGACAAACCUUGAUGUGCAGGCUUGUGGAGAAACUGGAUUCACACCCAGGCUCGUGGAGUGUGGGAGAGGCUGGCCUGUCACAAUAUCAGGACAGCCUCUCUUAAUAACACUGCAGAAGGAAUCGAGGGCCCUGUGGUUUGCGGUCAGUGUGCCUCUUGUGCCAACUUUGGCACUACAAUGUCUUCAAUCACAUUAUCUUCCAAACCGGCUCUUCAUCCUAUGUCCUUAUUUCUGCUAAUGGUAUUCAUUUCUCUUAUUCAUGGACUCUGGGAAUCUUGGUGGUAUUAAAACCUGUCUCUUCUUUCCCCCUCGAUCUUCCACAUUCCAUUUCCUUUCAGCAGAAUCCCAAGCCUUCACCAUUUUUCAUUUUUGGUGCUGUUUCAGAGUUGCUGUGAACUUUACCUGGGUCCUCUAUCACCUUACCCAGCCAUUUGUCAUUCUGCCUGGUAAAGGGUUGAGCAGAUUUAUCUAUAUGAAUGAUCUUAUUUAAGCUAUUCUGUACACCUUCUGCUACUUAAACAGGCUCUAUGCUUCCACAUCUGCUCUCUAUCUGCCUAUGUGACUCAAACUUCAAUUGUCCAUCUCAGACAUCACAUCCUCCAUGAAGCCCUCUUGGGUUAUUUGAAGUAAUCUCUCUUCUGGGCUCUCAUAGCAUUACUGCUUGUAACUCUUUCAAAAGAUGAAUUUUGUGCUGUUGUUUACUUAAUGAGUACAAAUUUAGUGAUAAAUUUGAAAAACUUGUGUCCAUGUUUGAUAAAUAUGAAAAUCUCAUCAUUUUCAAUAUUUCUUAGAAUUUCAAAAUGUACUAAAUAUUAUUAAAAACCAAUCAUGGCAAUUUUAA